rnacentral:tmRNA from 1 species
GGGGCUGACCUGGAUUUGACAGCAAGGCUAAGUGGUAAGUAAGCAUGCCGAGCAAUGGGAUACCGGCUCGUAAAUCAUGGAUCUCAACUUUUUUAACUGGCGAAUCUAAUUACGCUCUCGCCGCCUAAUCGAAGUACAGUAGAUGGGCAUUAUCCUUGCUCCAGGAGCUUGGACGAGACACUUCCCGGGUGCCAAUUCCUGAGGCGGCCCGAAUCGGAGGUGUAGAAAUAUCGGGAAUAGCCGGCGAGCGGCCUUUGCUCAAGGGCGAAACUUUAAGAGGCUAAGGAGUCGUCCGGGUGUCUGUUCCCAAACGACUCACGAAAACCAACAGCAGAAUAAGCAUGUAGAAAGCUUAUGGCUUACUUGUUUGGACGAGGGUUCGAUUCCCUCCAGCUCCACAC